rnacentral:rRNA from 1 species
AGUGAACGCUGGCGGUAGGCCUAACACAUGCCAGUCGAACGGCAGCACAGUAAGAGCUUGCUCUUGCGGGUGGCGAGUGGCGGACGGGUGAGGAAUACAUCGGAAUCUACUUUUUCGUGGGGGAUAACGUAGGGAAACUUACGCUAAUACCGCAUACGACCUACGGGUGAAAGCAGGGGAUCUUCGGACCUUGCGCGAUUGAAUGAGCUGAUGUCGGAUUAGCUAGUUGGCGGGGUAAAGGCCCACCAAGGCGACGAUCCGUAGCUGGUCUGAGAGGAUGAUCAGCCACACUGGAACUGAGACACGGUCCAGACUCCUACGGGAGGCAGCAGUGGGGAAUAUUGGACAAUGGGCGCAAGCCUGAUCCAGCCAUACCGCGUGGGUGAAGAAGGCCUUCGGGUUGUAAAGCCCUUUUGUUGGGAAAGAAAAGCAGCAGGUUAAUACCCCGCUGUUCUGACGGUACCCAAAGAAUAAGCACCGGCUAACUUCGUG